rnacentral:rRNA from 1 species
AUGCUGGCUGUCCGGAUGUGUAAAAUACAUCCGUUAGCAAGGGCCGGGCAAGACCGGUGCCAGCCGCCGCGGUAACACCGGCGGCCCGAGUGGUGAUCGUGAUUAUUGGGUCUAAAGGGUCCGUAGCCGGUUUGGUCAGUCCUCCGGGAAAUCUGAUAGCUCAACUAUUAGGCUUUCGGGGGAUACUGCCAGACUUGGAACCGGGAGAGGUAAGAGGUACUACAGGGGUAGGAGUGAAAUCUUGUAAUCCCUGUGGGACCACCUGUGGCGAAGGCGUCUUACCAGAACGGGUUCGACGGUGAGGGACGAAAGCUGGGGGCACGAACCGGAUUAGAUACCCGGGUAGUCCC